UGGGGUGGGGCAGGGAUGGCUUGGGCCUGCCCAGUCGGCCUGACCACGCACCCCACAGGCACCCAGGA
rnacentral:pre_miRNA from 1 species